GAGCAAUGAUGUUUUCACGCCUUUCUGUUGGUGGGGUCCAUCAAUGUAUUCUGAACUUUAAGUGAUGACAAAAGGCCUUUCUGAGCUC